GACGAACGCUGGCGGCGUGCUUAACACAUGCAAGUCACGGGGGCCGCAAGGGCAACCGGCGAACGGGUGCGUAACACGUGAGCAACCUGCCGAUCUGAGGGGGAGUAGCCGGCCCAACGGCCGGGUAAUACCGCAUACGCUCAUUGAGCCACCUGGCUUGAUGAGGAAACCUCCGGGGCAGAUCGAGGGGCUCGCGGCCUAUCAGCUAGUUGGCGGUGUAAUGGACCACCAAGGCGACGACGGGUAGCUGGUCUGAGAGGAUGGCCAGCCACAUUGGGACUGAGAAACGGCCCAGACUCCUACGGGAGGCAGCAGUGGGGAAUCUUGCGCAAUGGCCUAACGGCUGACGCAGCGACGCCGCGUGAGGGAUGAAGCUCCUCGGAGUGUAAACCUCUGUUGCCCGGGACGAAUAGCGGUAUUUUUCCGACUUGACGGUACCGGGUGAGGAAGCACCGGCUAACUCCGUGCCAGCAGCCGCCGUAAG
rnacentral:rRNA from 1 species